GGCCGACGUCGGGCCCCGCCCUCCCGUCCAGCCUGCGCGCUGUUGCACCUGCGCAUCCGCGCCCAGCCUUCGGCGCUGCGGCGAGCCUGCCCUCCAUUGGCUGUCGCGACCGGCCUGGGGCGGAGUCUUGACAGUGGCGCCCUCCAUUGGAGACAGUUCUUGUCUGUUUGGGCGAGGGAAAAGGGGGCGAACUCCUAUCCGGUUACUGAUUGGUUGCCGUCGGCCGUCUUUUGGGGACUAGAGGCCGUUUCUGCACUGAGAAGUUGUUUUAGUGGGUGGAAUUUGAAUGUUAAGAAUUAAUGGGCCAUCGCGGCUAGUGGGGAACACCGAGGCUUCAGCUCAGGACGGUUAUGUGCGCUGCCUGCUGGAGGCCGGCCUACCGUCCAGGAACGCACCCAGUACGCUGCCACACGCGUCGCGCUGCCUGUGUGUUUUGUCACCAUCACCACCUUUGGUGGUAGCAGCGAAGCCUCAUGCUCUGGAGCCCAACGCGUUCUAGCCAGGGACUCGGUUUAAGAGGCACGGUGGUAGCAUCUUUUAUGCGAAUCUGCCAGGCGCUACACUCCCCCGGGGCAGGAACAAACUGCCCUUGCAGAACUCGGGCGUGGGAAGCGGGUGCGACCUGUCACCUCGAGCAGGUGGCUCAGCGGAGGUGUGCGGAUGGGCAGGGAGAUUGCGGAGGACUCGGGCCUCCUCACGGCUUGCGAGACACAGUUUGGGAGCCGAUACCCAGCAGGUCAACUUCUGGAAGGGAUGACUUGGAGCUGGUGUCCAGCUGUUCUUUUUAGGAAAAUCCUGAGAGCAAGAGAAGAGUUUGGGCCACUAGGAAUGCGUGUUAAGGCGACCUCCCUGCUACCAGUAAGCACCCUAUGCACCCAGGGUCUCUUGUGCCUAUGGUAUUCUUAACAAGGAACUUUCCGGGUUGGCGUGGGCAUCCCGUUCUUUUAUUGAACACCUGCAUGUGUCAGGCGCUGAUCCAGGCCCGGAGUUGCCAGUUUUUGCGGGACGAUUCCUGCUGAACAUCCGGAUACAUACAGCGUGACUGAUACGCAGCAGAGGACUCUGGAUACCCACUGCCUUUGCCUUCCUGGGAAGAACAUUUUGGGCGUGUUCAAGGUCCUGAGGAGAGACUGUGCCUGACAGGUUGGGGACCAAUAAGGAGGCACUGUGGCUGGAAGAUCAUAGGGGAUGUGGCUUGGAGAGGCCGCCUGGGCGCUCUUCCCACCCCGGUGGUGUUUUCCUGUCAUCCAGAAUAAGAAGGUGAGAGUGAGAGCCAAAAGAAGAGAAGAGAGGGGAGGGGAGGGGAGGGGAGGAGGAGAAGGAGUAUGAUGAAGUCCGUGGAGAGCUAGAGCUCCAGCAUGGACACUGACUGGCCCUGAACAGUUUCUCCUUCAUCCUAGCCUGUGGGGGCCUGAUCCACACUCUACAGCCCCUGUUUAGCACACAGGACAGCCAUGGCAGGGAGACAGCCCCAUCCACCCAACAGCACGUGAAAUCAAUCCACAAUAGCUUUCUAGCCUAUUAGUGGUUUUUGGGUUUUUUUGGUUUUUUUGGUUUUUUUAGACCGCGUCUCACUACGCAGUUCAGGCUGGCCUUGAGCUCACUUGGUAACCCAGGCUGCUCUCGAACUCACAACACCCAGCUCCAGUCAUUCUUUAUUGGAUACAAGCCCACCCAUGAGGAUCAUCAGAAGUGGAAUGAAAGCCGGAUAUGGUGGUGCACCCCUGUAAUCCCAGCACUCGGGAGGCUGAGGCAGGAGGAUCAUUGCAAGUUGAGACCAGCCUGGGCUACAAAGUGAGCCCAGGGUCAGCCUGAACUGCAUAAUGAGACCUUGUCUCAAAAAGACAAAAAAAAAAAAAAUAGAAAGAAAGAAAGAAAACAAAUAGGAAGAAAGCCUUCAGCUUGAAAAACAGACAAGGCAGGGUGGCACACACCAGGAGGAUCUUGAGCUGAAGGCCAGUCUGGGCUACAGAGAGAAAACCCUGUGUCAAAAGAAGCCAAAAAGGAAGAAUUCUGUGUCUGUUUUGAAUGAGUGUCUUGGGUCAGCUCUGCCUUGCUAUCAGCCCACUUUCUGGCUGCUGGGACACAGUUGCCUACACCACACCUUACGCAGGAGGACUUUACUGAGCCCAUGGUUCCGGAGGAUUCAAUUCAUGGUCCCUCCAAGGCAGGAACAGAAUGGUACGAGGGCAUGAGGAGCAAGGCUGCUUGACAGUGCCAGAGGGAGAGGGACCAGAGACCAGACAUAGUCCUCAAGGCCAUCCCUCUACAAACCACCCAGCAAGUGCAGUGCACCACUGCAUGCAGGCCGAUGCCUAGCACCCUAAGGCUCACAGCCUUCUCUCACAAGUAUCUCCCCCCAGGCAGCGGCUUCUGCUUCCCUUCUCCCAAAUGCAUCUUCUGAAGAUCACAUUGAAGAUUUCAUUGAAGUCCAAGUUAUGGGUUUUUUUCAUGGAUCAUGCUUUUGGCAUUGUAGCUACAAAGCCCUUUAUUUGUACUCUUUACUUAUUUGUACUCUUGUCCUUGACAUUGAGGCCUGUGACCCUUUCUGGGUUCAUUUCCAUGAUGGUUGUGAGGUCUGCAUAUAGAUUCACUUUUCUGUGGGUUGAUGUUCAACUAUUCCCUUGUCACCUGUUGAAAAGAAUGUUUUUCUCCAUUGUGUCACUUUUGCCUAAAGAUCAGCAGACUGUAUUAUGUGGUCUAUUCCAAGAUGACUCUGUUUUCUUGAUCAAUUUGCCUUUGCUUUUUCUUUUUCCUUUCUUGCAGUUCCAGGGAUCAAAUCAAAGGCCCCUCAGGCAAACACUCCAGCCCUGAGUUACUCCCAGCCCUUAGCAUUUUCUUCAGGUAGUACUGUUACGGAAAAUGGACCAAACGCAGGAAGAAACAGCACACACCGGUGGGCUUGACUGGGAUCUCUCCCAAAGACCCCCGGUGGGGUUUCAGGGCUUUUAUAGGGAGAGCAAGCUGGAGGUACAAUGGUAGAUUUAGUGCAUUUUGAUUGGAGGGUCAGAUGACAUCACAGGUUGCUGAAGGAGUUUAAACAUCUCAGAUUACUUUGCAAGGCCAUCGGUUACACAAGUUUGGGUUACACAAAGGAAGGGAUGUUCUGUUAUCAGGUUUGUCUGGACACGGACAUGUCUGCCUGGUCUUGGCAGGCUUUGAUUUAAACUUUUAAUUUUCCUUUUACUACACAUGGUUUUGAAGUUGGAUUGAGUUGCUCCUGCAACUCUCUUCUAAUUCUUCAGUAUUAAGUGGAUCCUUCCACAUCUUUUUUCUCUCCCUAUAAACCUGAAGGUCAGUACAUCAGCACACAGACACUAAUUUGCUGGAUUUGGGGUAGGGAUUACAUUGAACCUACAGAUGAGCUGGGAAGAAUGGACAUGUUAGCCUCCAUGAGUCUGCCUGUCAUGGACGUGGGAUUUCUCACCAUCAAUUUAUUCUUUGAUUUAUUCCAUCAGAGUUUUGCAAUUUACCUCAUAUAAAUCUUGGGCUUAUUUUGUUGGAUUUGUAGCUAAAUAAAUCUAUUCAUUUUGGGGUGCUGUUAAUAUAAAUGUAUUGGCAGCCAGGCAUGGUGGCUCACACCUGUAGUCCCGGAAGGCUGGGGCGGGAGGAUUAUUGCGAGUUCAAGACCAGCCUGGGCUACAAAGUGAGUUCAACACUAGCCUGAACUCAUAGAGAUACACUGUCUCAAAAAGACUAUAUAUAUAUAUAUAUAUAUAUAUAUAUAUAUAUGGUAUUUUUCAUUUUAAAUUCUACUCAUUCUUUGCUGCUAUAGGGAGAAGCAAUUGACCUUUGUAUAUUAACCUUUGUAUAUUAACCUGUAUUCUGCAACCUUGCUAUGAUCAUUUAUUAGAACUAGGAGUUUUGCAGUUAAUUCUUUUCAAUUUAUGUGUAGAUGAUCAUAUCAUUUGUGGGGUUUUUUUUUUGUUGUUGUUGUUUUGUUUUUUCUUUUUGGUACCGGGAAUCAAACGCAGGCCCUUGCACUUGCCAGGCAAGUGCUUAUGCCACUGAGCUGCAUCCCAGCCAGAUCAUGUCAUUUGUGAAUGGAGACAGUCUUAUAUCUUUCUCCUCCAUCAGUAAAUCAUUUAUUUCACGAUCUAAUUUGGUUGCAUUAAGAGGACUUCCAGUUUGAAGAAGAGCCAUCUUUGCCUGGCUCCUGAGUUUGGUGGGAGAGCUUCGCAUUUUCCCCCUCAGGGGUGCUGUGCUCUCUCUCAGUGGUGGCUUCUGUAGAUAUUCUUUAUUAAGCUGAGGGCGCGCUCAUCUAUUCCAGUAUAGUCAGGGUUUUAUUUUAGUGUGCAUGGUUAUUAGGUUUUGUCAAGUGCUUUUCUGCAUAUGUAGAUAGCAGUGUGAUUUUUCUUGUCUAGCCUGUGAUCCAAUAGCCAUCAUUAAUUGACUUUCAAGUGUGGGACCUGCCUUACCUAUCUGGGGUAAAUUCUACUUGGGUGUAUAUUGACUUUCAUAGGUUGUUGGCUUUGACUUCUAACAAUUUGUUCAGGAUUUUUGCAUCUAUCUCAUGAAAUAUAUUGGUCCACCCUUGACUUUUCUGAUUUUGUAUUAAGGUGACAUCAUGCUCAUACAGUAACUUGGGGGAAAUAUUCCCUUAGCUUCUUUCUUCUGAACAAAUGUAUAGAGAAUUGGUAAAUUUUCUUCCUUAAAGUUGGUUAAAAUUCACCAAUAAACCCAUCUGGUGCUUUUAGUCUCAUUUUAUUUGUUUAAUUCUUAUUUGUUUGUUUUCUUGAGACAAGGUCUCUCUACAUAAAUUCGUGGUGAUUCUCCUGCCUCGGCCUCCCUAGUGCUAAGUGACAGGUGUGCACCACCAUGCCCAGCUGAUGCUUUUUGUUUUAGAAGGUUCUUAAUUAUUGAUUCAAAUUUUUUGAGACACAGUUUCACUAAAUUGGCCAGGCUGGCCUCAAACUUGUGAUCCUUUUGCCUCAGCCUACCAAGUAGCUGGGAUGACAGCCACGUGGCAUCCUGACUGCUGAUUCCAUUUACUUAUAGGCUCAGUCGGUUGUCUCUUCCUGUGUGGGUUGCGGCAGGUGGGCUCUGUCUCAGCGAGGUUAGCAGAUUGCCGCGCGCGUGCUGCCCUUUGUCCUCCUCAUCGCCAGGAGACUCCUUAGGUGCCUUUCCCUUCACUUCUGAUAUUAAAUCGGGUCCUUUUUCUCUUAGGUGCUGAGGGGCUGAUUAAUGUCAGUUAUAUCAGGAUCAGCUUUUGGGGUCAUUGAUUUUUUUCCUAUUGAUCUCCUAUUUUCAAUUUCAUGAAUUUCUGCUCUACUUUUUCUUGUUUCUUUUCAUGUUUCUUAUGGAUUUAAUUGGCUCUUUUUGUUUCUAGUUUCCUAUGGUGGAUGCUUAGAUUAUUUUACAUUAUUCACUUUAGAUCUCUUUCUUUUCUAAACAUACACUCUUGAUACUGUAAAUUUCCUUUAAACUGCAUCCCAAAAGUUCUACCAAGUUGUAUUUUCAUUUUCAGUUUGAUUUUUCAACCAGGGAUUGAACCCAGGGUUCAAUGAGCUACACUGCGGUACAUCCCUACUCCACUGAUUUGUUCAUUAAUUAAUUUUUUUGAGAAAGGGUCUGUCUGUAUAGUUCAGGCUGGCCUUGAACUCACUUUGUAGCCCAGGCUGGCCCCGAACUUGCUGCAAUCCUCCUGCCUCAGCCUCCUGACUGGUGAGAUGACAGGCGUUCAUCCGCUUUAUUUUAUGCCUUCUUUUGGGAUAGGAUCUCACUAAACCAUUAAGUUCCCCCAUCCUCCUGCCUCAGACUCCUGGAGAGGUGGGAUUACAGUUGUGCCUGACCACACCCAGCUACUUGAAAAUACUUUAAAAUUUCUUUUGAGAUCACUUUGGUGAUCCAAGUAUUAUUGAGAACAUGUUCUAAUUAUUGAGAACUCUGUGUAUUUUGGGACUUUCCAGUUAUCAUUUUGUUGUUGAUUCCUAGUUUAUUUCCUUCGUGGACUGAGAGCUACAGUCUGAACCUGUUCUUGGAAAUGUGUGAGCUUGUUUGGUGCCAGGACCCUGGCAUUCUUGGUGGCUGCUCUCCGGGAGUCUGAGGACUGUGUAGGUGGCCGACGCCAGUGAGAUCCAGUACACUGACAUUCAGCCAAGUCCUUCCUGAUCUUUCGCUCUCUCUCUCUCUCUCUCUCUCUCUCUCUCUCUCUCUCUCUCUCUCUCUCUUUCUCUCUCUCUCUCUCUUCUCUUUUUUGGUACCAGAAGCGAACUCCGGACCUUGCACUUGCCAUCCCUAGCCGGGGUUUUGUCUGGACCCACUCUGAUGAGCUGUUUGUGGUACCUUUUGAUUGUGGCGUGUCCCCUGCCAGGGACACCUGUGCUGUCACUGUCACUGGUGAAUGUAGACUAUUGGCCUGUACAGUGAUCACUGUUGGCAGUUGGAUUACUAUCUACCAUGUGUCACACUGUUUUCUAUCUGUUCCUACCUGAUUUGUGCCUUCCAUAUUUUCCAUCUUUUGUUGUUUUAAUAGAACAUUCUGUAUGAUUCCCGUUUUCUCCUUUCUUAGCAUAUCAGGUAAAUUUGUAAAAUUUUAUUUAUUUGUUUAUUUUUGCAAUAUUGGGGAUUGAACCCAGGUGGGCCUUCACACUGAGCCAUACCCUCAACCCAUUUUUACUUUUUUAUUUUGAGAUAGAGUCUCCCUAACAUGCUAAGUUGUCCAGACUUGGCUCAAACUUGAAAUCUUCCUGCCUCAGCCUCCCAGGGUAGAAUUCCACGUGUGCACCCACCAUGUCUGGCUAAGAAUUUUUAAGAACUUUUCUUGCAAGACAGGUCUAUGGCAACAAAUUCCCUCAAUACUUGCUUGUUGACUUUUUUCUCCUUCCCUUUUGAAAGAUAACUGUGUGGGAUAAAACAUUUUAGGAUGGUGGGAUUUUUUUCUCUUCAAACUUUAAUUUUUGCCUCCACUCUCUUCUUGCUUAUACUGUUUUGUGCCCGGGACUGAUCCCAGAGGUACUCCACCAGCACUUUACACCUCUAUCACUUUAAAUUAGUUUGUUUCUUUUUAACUUUGAGGUAGUACUUAGCUAUAUAGCCCAGGGUGGUCUUAAAUUCGCAAUCCGCCUGCCUCAGUCUCCCAAAUAGCUAGGAUUGCAGGUGUUCAUGAGCACUCUCAGUGCUUGAAAAAACAUGUGAUUAUUUAAAAACACAUUCCUUGCUGGGCAUGGUGGCACACUCCUGUAAUCCCAGCACUCGGGAGGCUGAGGCAAAAGGAUCAUUGCAAGUUCAAGACCAGCCUGGGCUACAAAGUGAGCUAAAGGCCAGCCCAAACUGCAUAGCAAGAAUCCCAUCUCAGAAAGACACACACACACAACACAACACACAAACCAGAUUCUUUUCCCCCCUCCUGCUGCUGUAAGAACAGGAGAGUUUUCCUGGUGGUGAAUGUCUGGUUGAGCUCCUAGAAGCGGAGGCAUCCCCAGUGACCAGUCACUUUUUAACUCACCCACACUAGUUUUGUUUUGUUUUUUGAGGCAGGGUCUCGCUAUGUAGCCCAGGCUGGCCUUGUAUUUGCGGUGAUGCUCCUGCUUCAGCCUUCAGAGUGCUGGGAUCACAGGACGCCAGCACACUUGGCUUGGUGUAGAGUCUUUGACAUAGGUUCUAGGUUGUCUCUUUCCGGGUCACCCCUGGUUGCAAAAAUGGAUACUAUUCCAGUGAACAAGGCAAUGGAGGUACACCUUACCUGCCUGUACCCCACGGGCCGUCCACAAGCCAAGGGCCCCUGCUGUGCCCUCCACUUGUCUGGAGCCUCCAGAGACCUGUGGGCUUGCCACAGCCCCCUUUGGUUCCGGGAACACUGGAUUGGUGGAAAGGGCAACAUAACAUGUUAAGGUUUCCCGAGGCGGGCAUUCACAGGGGCCCUUCCCAAGGCCACUGGGUCACCAAGCUCAGCACCACUAGGAGGCAAGGCCUGGACGGACAAGACAGCUGGGGGCGUGGCCUGCAGGAUGCCUCUGCCUCCCGGCUCCUCCCUCACUGUUAGGAGGCGGGGCCUGGGUGGAAGAGGCGGGGCCUGCAGGGUGAGUCUCCCUUCUGACUCCUAUCUUUCCACCAUGCGCUGUGAUCGUGGAAUGACUAAGAGUUCUGAAACAGGAGCCAAAAUCACCUUCUCCUUUAAAUUGCAGUUGUCAGGUAUUGUGUCCCAGUAACGAGGAAGCAACUAAGACAAAGUGACAAAGGAGAACUCAAAGGACAAUAAGUGAUACUAAAAGAUAUAAUUUUACAGCAAUCAGGAGGCCACGUUAUCAUAAAGGGGUGACUAUACCGAGUCUUUAUGAACUGGGUGUAUUUCAUCCAACUAGAGAAAACACUACUAAUUGGAAAAUACAUGAAGAAGAGAUGGACAGAAAUAUAAGAAUUGAGCCAGGCAUGAUGGCACACACCUAUCACCCUAGCACCCAGGCUAAGGCAGGAGGAUUGCUGCAGGAUUGAGGCCAGCCUGGGCUACUAAAUGAGCUCAAGGCCACCCUGAACUGCACAGUGAGACCCUGCAUCAAAAAGACAAAAAAUAAGUAAAUAAAUAAAAAUAAAAUAAAAGAAAUCUUUGUUCCCAGCAUUCUGCACAGCGAACUCUUUGGAAGCUAGUGGGCCCCCCUUUGUUUCUGGGAUGUAGAAUGUCUCAGUGAGGGAAACUGGAAAGGGGUUAUUUUCCUCACAUGUGCAGUGGAAUUUUGACGGUGCUCCUAGGACCUCACACUGAACCACACCAGGGCCCCAGGGCCUGUGACUCCAGCAUCUCUGGGACCUGGCAUGUGGUCCCAGCAAUUCACUGCCUCAGAGAAGAAAGUUCCCAAGUUCUGCAGGACGAGAGUGACACGGUCACUGCUCAUGGUUAUGGCACACAACCAAUCUCACUAAAUUGCUCAGGCCAGGCUCAAAUUUGUGGCCCUCUUGCUUUAGUCCGGUGAGGGACCCUGAGAUGUAGCUGUGGAUACUCCACCUGCCACCUCCACCCGACUUCACCUCUCUGUGGCUGUUCAGUGUGCAGCAGCUUUAUCUACAGGGGCUGUAACUGGAAACAGCGCCAGGGUCCUUCCAAGGGCACAUUGCGGACAAAGUCCGUCUGUCCACACAGAGGAACCUGCCUGCAGAAAGGGCCACACAUACCCAAGUCAUCAAGCGGGCAAGCAAGUGGCUGGACAGAGAAGGCUGUCGGGGCGUGGAUGCCAGCAGUGUGAGGCAGCCCCCCCGGGGCAGAGGCAAGGGCGCCCAGAGCAACUCUUCAGGCCUGACCCGCCCUGCCCAGGGCUCUGGGUAGACAGUCCUGGCUCGGCCUGCAGUUCAGAUUCCGGAUCUGUGUGAAACUGGUGUUUGCACAGGUUUUGAAGCCAAGGUCUCCCCCUUUCUUCCCUGUUUUUUCUCUGUCUCUCUGUCCUUUCUUUUCUUUAUGCACUUGUCUGUCUGCCUUUCUCUCUUUCUCUCUCUCUCUCUCUCUCUCUUUCUUUCUUUCUUUCUUUCUUUCUUUCUUUCUUUCUUGCCAGCUUGGUGAUUGAACUCAAAGCCUUCACCCCUGAGGUUCCGUCCUUAGCUAUUUCUUAUUUUUAUUUUUUUAAUUUUGAGAGACAAUCUUGGUAAGUUGCUCUACAAGUCAUUUUCCCAGUGCCGGGACAAAAUCCCCAGCAGCACAAUUUAGAGGAGGAGGGAUUGUGUGGCUCAUAGCCUCAGAGAGCUCAGUCCGGGGUUAGCUGCUCAGGGUGGGAGCAGCAUGGCAGAAGGGCCGGGUUGGGGAGAGCUGCUCACCCAUGGCAGCCAGGGAGCAGAAACCAACCAGCUCCCCCCAUCAGCAGCACAUCAGCCAUGAACCCAUCCAUGGGUGAGUCCGCUGAAGUCUGUAGCAGCCUGUGACCCAGUCACCCCCCGAAGCCCUGCCGCUAGACACUGGAGUAUUUAUCAACAUUUUAAAUCCAACCCAUUGGGUUGCUAAGUUGCCUGUGCUGGGCUGGAACUUGCAAUCUUCUUGUCUCAGCUUCCCAGAGUGCUGAGAUUAUAUUUGUUUGCCACCACACCCAGCUACAGCGUCUUACUUUUUGUUAACAGUUUAUCGUCAUAUAAAUGUGGUUGCCCUGGCCCAGCUUAUGAAAAGGCUCAUCCUUCCCUCCGGUGCUGUAAAUGCCUCCUUCUGUCAUGCAGCAAGUGUCCACGCAGCAAGGGCUCAUUCGUGUGCUCUCAGUGCAGUCUCGCCAGUUCAUUUGUCCAUGCAUUCCCAAGCCACACUGCCAGAACCCACUCUCCUCCCCUGCCCAUGGUCUUCUCAUCUUGGAGUCUUGCUAUGCAGUCCAGGAUGGCCUGGAACCCACACAAUCCUUCUGCUUCGGCCUCCUAACUGCUGGGAUGACAAGUGUGCACCCCUACACCUUAUCGGCCUUUCCUUUUUGUUUUCUGUUUUGCCAACCGCACUACUCAGGCUCAACACCAAGUGUCAGAUGAACUGGGGAUGGCGGUAGGCCUCCUUUCCUCUUCUGCGCUCUGAAGGGGUGCAGGGGACAUCGGGACUAUUUCCGCAGCUUCCUGCUUCAGGCCCCAUUCCACAUAGGCCUGUGUCACUGCGCUGGAUGAGCUUGUGCCUCGGUAGCGAUGAUUACGUCCUUUAUUAAGUGCGGUCUUUUCACCCGAGACCAGGCCCCGCGGUGGCUGUGGUGUUUCAUUUUCUGCGUGCUAACGCUUGCUCCACAGUCCAGCCUCUCCCCGCUGCUCGGGGCUGUGCUUCGUGGCGGCGCGGGCGGCCGCAAGGGGUGUCCCCUGGUGCAGGGCGGCUGGCAAGCGACCCCCGCAGCGGGGUUCGCUGCCCAGAGCCGAGAUGGCCCCUUGGCGGGCUGCGCGGUGUCAGCCCCCAGGAGCUCUUGCGCCCUGGCCAUGUUGACUGCGGCUCUUCUCUCCUGCACACACUUCUUUUUUCUCUGAAUGUGUGUGAAAUGGAAAAUUUUAUUCAGGAAUGUUUGGUAGAUUUUGCGGAGGAAGUCAUCGAGGCCUGGAGUUUGCUUUUUGUUGUGGUUUGAGUCAGGGUGUCACUAUCUAGUCCAGGCUGGCCUCCAACUCACAGCGAUUCUCCUGCCUCAGCCUACCAGUGCUGGGAUGACAGACAUGGGCCUGUCGCACGCCUUGGAGUUUGCUUUGGAGGGAAGAUACUCAAUUGCUAAAACUGAGUAUUUUAUGAUUAUAAACUACUUGGGGCCUCUGGUUUUCUUGAGUCAAUACUGGUCAUUUCUUUUGCUAGGAUUCAUUUAGACUUUUCUUUUUCUUUUGUAGUACUGAGGAAUGACUGAAUUGAGUUUGGUGUUUAGCUACAUCUCCAGCCUGUUUUGUUUUUGAAAUUUUUCACAUGGUCUCACUAAGUUGCUAAGUUGUGUAGGCAGAAGUCACAUGAUCCUCCUGCCUCAGCUUCAUUCACUGCUGGCAUUGAAUGUGGAUGAAAGGCACAGUAUGUGGCUCCUCUAAUGCCCUGAAUUUAGCCUCUGCACGGCUCCAAGGUUAGUGCCAGCGUCACCCACAGCAGUUUCUUCUGGUCCCUGUGUGUGCUUCUCUGGAGGCCAUUAGUUCUGUGGUGGCUCCCACUCUGUCCUGUUGUCCUGCCCUGGCAGCAGUACUGUUUACUACCUGAAGUGGCAGUGACACGAUUCUGUCCCACAUUGGUACAACUCCUUCCAAGAAGAAAAGAAAGCACAAUUUCCUCAAGCUGAAGCAGACCUUUGCCAUGAGAACUGGACUUGAUUGAAGUAAAUUUAUUUUCCUUUUGUGAUGGUGCUAGAGAUGUAACCCAGGGCCUUGGCACUGACUCCAGCCCUAGCCCUUAUCUUUAUGUUGAGAUAGGGUCUAAAUAUCCCAGGCUGGGCUCAAACUUGCAGUCCUCCUGCCUCAGCUUGCCAAAGCCAUGUUAUUAUUUCUAAUUAAGGUUCCCAGCUGAAUGUGUGGCUCAGGUCUGUUACCCCAGCACUCAGGAGGCUGAAGUAGGAGGAUCUCGAGUUUGAGCCCAAAUGGGCAACUUAAUGACUUGGCGAGACCCUUGUCAAGAUGAAAAGGGAUGGGAAUGGAGCUCAGCGAAAGGCCCUCCUUCCUGCCCCAGACAUAAACACCCAAGCAUACCAGGCCUGGCAUUUCCUAGAGGCCUCUGGGGCAGCGCCAUGCAGGCAUAGCCUUCAUUCCUCACAGCCAUGCUGUGGCUCUCAGGCCCUGACUCAUCUGCUCUAGACAGUGAACCACUGCACUGCUGCCCGAGCCACUCCCAGGCCACCACAGCCGGUUUGCACCCUGGCCACCAUCCCUGGUGAGACUGAGCUUCCACAGGGUAGAGGUUUCCCCUGAGUUCACUGGCCCAAGUUGGCUGCCACUAGGGCCUGGAAAGUCCUGACAGUUUCCCCCUCUUCCCCAGGAGGGCCAAGGGAGCUUGGUGACAGCAGUUAACUGCCUAUCUAUGCUCUUCCCUGGCCCUGUCUGGGAGCCACAAGAGGUUUCCUGAUUGUGUUCCAGUGACAAAAGUGACAAGGACAGAGUCACUGUCUAGGGAGAUGUGGCCAGAGUGUGCAGCCAACCUAAAGGAUGCAGAAGAAGCAGAAGCAACAGAAAUGAUAUGAUUCUCUGGCUUGGGCCUUUCUGUGGUGUUCAUUAGUUUUUUAACAUUUAAAGUUGGUAAGAUUUCAAUUUCCAGCCCAACAUCCAAGUUCACAACUUAUUUUGUACUCUAUUUUUCUUUCUCCUCCUCCUCCUCUUCUUCUUCUUCUUUUGGUGCCAGGUAUCGAGCUCAUGACCUUGCACUUUCCAGGCAGGCACUUACACCUCUGAGCUAAAUCCCUAGCCCUCUUCUUUCUUUUUUUGAGACAGGGUUUCACCAUGUAACCCAGGCUGGCCUUGAACUUGUGUUCCUCCUGCCUCAGCCUCCUGAGUGAUGGGAUUAGAUGCAUCUUGCCACCCAGCUUAUAUUCUUUUCCUUAAAGAACAACCCCCUGUCCAUUGGCGGAGCACACCUGUCUCCCCAGAAUAGGAGGUGACAUGAGUUCAAGGCUAGCCUGGACCACACAAUGAGACCUCAUCUAAGAAAAUAAAAGAAGAAGAAGAAGAAAAAGAAGAAGAAGGAGGAGGAGGAGGAGGAGGAGAAGGAGAGCGAGGCCCCCAAGCAUGUAGGCCUUGACCCCCAAACCCUGCAGAGUCUGACUUUUCUGUAGAUGCAGUAACCUGCUUAGAUACAUGAAAUAAGUUAAAGAAGUUGAUCUGGAUCUCGUGAUCGAAGUGCAUCGUGGUUUUGUGCAUGUGUACACACACGUGUGUAUACUGGACAUUUCUAAAUGCUCAAAUAGGAAAGGAGAAAAAUAUUCAAUAAAAUAAUAGAACUUGGCAGUUACAUGCUAAUAAGUAAAGGUAAAACAUUUGUAAACUGCCAUAAAAAACCAAAUAGACUGCUAGCAGAAAUCUACAUCGUGGUCCUGUUUCCUAAACAUAGAUUUUCUCUGAAAGAAAGAAUUACACGUUUUCUUUCAAUGUCUAAAUGUUCUGAUUGCUAAGUCAUAGGAUAAGAAACAAGGAAAUGUAUGUUAUUAUUGGACCCACAACAAACCCUUCUGAAGCCCUCUGAGGAUCCCACUGUGUCACAGACCCAUGCCAAUAUUUACGGGACUGUAAUACUCAGCAGAGCCGGCAGGGGGUGCACACCUGUGCUUUGGGAGGCUGAGGCAGGUGGAUGAUUUCAACCCCAGUCAGGGCAAUCUAGGGACUUAGCCUCAAAAUAAAAACCGGAAAAUGGGCUACGGAAAGAGAUCAGCGUGAAGGCCCUAGGUUCAAUCCCUAACGCUGCGGGGCGGGUCUUUAAAAGAAACAGCAAGCCCAGGCCACGCUGGUGGGAACAGCAGCGCCUGGGAAUCCCAAGGUCACCCCGCCCUUCCGCCGCCAGCGGGCCAAUGGGUGGGCACGAACUUUGGGGGCGGGGUCAUGAGUUCCCACAGCUGGGAACUGCAGACGUUCAAGCCCGAACUGAGUGACUUUGGUUACACCUCCGAAUAACAUGAUCUCUUGUUUAAUGUGAUCCAAGGUUUUGCACCCCAUUUCGUAAGGCAUGGCACUGGUUGUUCUCCUCUUGGUGAAGCCAAGAAAACUCUCACCUCUGAGUCCCUUAUGGUGUACUCGAAUAAAUGACAUGUUUGUUGUCGCCUAAAGACACCUCGGUGUGGUCUCCCGGUUUUAUGGCAGCAAGAGUCAGAAUGCAAAGGUUAGAGAGACAUUUAUUAUUAAUUUCCUUCUUUUUUGUCUUUUUGAGACGGGGUCUCUCUAUGCAGUUCAGGCUGGCCUUGAGCUCACUUUGCAGCCCAGGUUGGUCUCCAGCUCGCUGCAGUACUCCUGCCUCAGCCUCCCGAAUGCUGGGAUUCACAGGUGUGAGCCACCAUGCGUAUACUUAUUAUUAAUUUUUAAUGUAUGAGAAACUUUAGUUAAGGGGCUUCCUAAGUUUCUGACGUUUAUGGAUCCGGUAAGUUAUCAUUUCUUACACUACACGGCUAAGGUUAUGGAGACGGAGAUGUCUGUUGAACUAAAUUGAGUCCCUAUCACCAUUACUUCAGGGUGUUCAGAUGUCGCAAGCCCGUGUUUGUGGUGCAGUGACCUGUUGGUCGCAGGGAGCUGUCACACGUCUUCGUUCUUUUUUUUCCUCUUCCCUUCUGGUCCUUCCUCUGUCUCUGUCCCUCUCCCUCGCUGCUUUGCACGUUCCCACAGUUGCAAGGACGCGGGCACCCAGAGUUCCUUCCGCGUGGAAGGUGGAGACUGGAGUGGUCAGGUUUGCCUAGGAAGAGCAUUUUUCUGGCAGUGCUGGGACGCACUCAGGGUACCGCACGCUAGGCAAUCUUCUAGCCAUGGGUUGCACUCCAGCCCUGUAAAAAAUCUUAUUUUUGGUUUUUUGAGACAGGGUCUCACUAUGCAGUCAAAGCAGGCCUUGAACUUGCUAUGUAGCCCAGGCUGCCCUCAAACUCGAGAUCCUCCUGCUGCAGCCUCCUCAGUGCUGGAAUUACGUGUGACACCACCAUGCCUGCUUGCUUAUGUAGUCAUUGAGGAGGGCCGAUACUGGAAACUGAACCUGGGGCCUUUGUACUGAGUUACAUCUCCAGCUCUCUUCUUUGUUUUUCUUUCUUUCUUUCUUUCUUUAAUUUUGAAACAAGGUCUCUCCCAGUCACUAAAAUUCCCAGGGUGGGCUCAAACUUGCUAUCCUCCUGCCUCAACGUCUCAGAGGGCUCGAAUCACAAGCAUACACCCCACCUACUGGCCUCCCAUGGUUCGGGGAAUGAAGGAGGGGCACUGGGAACAAGUCGCAUAGGCUCCUGGUGAUGCCACCAGCACUGUCCCACCUGUGUGUUCACACGCCCCUGAUCUAGGUAUGUUUCAGUAAAAAGGAAUAAAGUACUGGUCCAAGCUAGAAUUUGGAUAAAUCUCAAAAACACGGUCAAAGCCAGACCCAAGGAGUCAUGGUUGGCCAGGAAUUUAGCUCAAUUGCAUAAGCGGCUGCCUGGCAAGCUUGUGGUUGUGAGUUGGAUCCCCAGUACUGAAAAAAAAAAGUCAUGAUUGUACGAUUCCUUCCAUAUGAAAUAUGUAGAAAGAAGCCAGGUGUGUUGGUGCAUACCUGCCAUCCUUGCACUCUGGGGGGCUGAGACAGGAGGAUGGUAAGUUCAGCCCUGCCUGAACAAUUCAGCAAAACCUUGUCUCAAAACAAAAACUAAAACAGACUGGGGAUGUAGCUCAGUGUGAAGGCCCUGGCUUCAAUCAAAAGAAAAAAAAAAAAACGAAGGAAGGAAGGAAGGAAGGUAAAAGAGAAAAGAAAGCCCCAGAAAGGGUCGAUUCAUAGGCUUGGGAGGUAGCUGAGUGGUUUCCAGGGGUUGGGCAGCAUGUGCCAGCAGGAAACACCAAGUUGAGAGAUGCUGAGAAUGUUCUGGAACUACAUAGAGUUGAUGGCCACACAACAUUGUGACUUUACUGAAUACCACUGAAUUGUACACUUUAAGAAUUGAAGCCAUGCACAGUGGCAUAUGCCAGACAUCCCAGCACUUGAGAGGCUGAGGCAGGAGGAUUUCUGAGAGUUGCAGGCCAGCCUGGGUUACAUAGUGAGACCCUCUCUAAAAAAAAAAAAAAAAAAAAAAAAAGCAAGAUGUUUCAUUGCACGUUAUGUGCUUUUUACUGCACAAAGAGUGUGCACACUUUGCUAUCCGGGAAUGGGCUUGCACCACACCAUGGUGCCACAUGGCGUGACACCUCUACCCUGUGAAUUCCAGAGCACACAGUCUCAUGUCUGUGAAUAGCUCCAGUGAUGAUGCAUGAAAUAGCUUGUCAGGCCCACAAGAAAUGUCGGAUGGCCAGCAGGAUACUGUCACCCCACCACCAGGUCACACCUCUGCGUCCAGACUUAUCAUGGAGCACAGACACGGACACAUCACUGUCACAAAGCUACCUUUCCUGACCAGAACCCCCAGUGACAACUGGUGACGCCCUCUGCCUGUGCUGAGGGUUUCCUCCCAGACACAGGGAUGACAGGGAGCCUGUCAUUGCCCUUCUGCACAGCCUUUGCUGUGAGUCCUGGAGGCCUUCUAAGAAGACCAGUGCCCUUCUGUUCAGACAGGGCUUGUUCUGAGUGACACAAGGUGACAUGUGCAGACUCUCAGCACCUCCAGGCAGCGUGUCCUGCGGCACUGGCCUGAGCAGCCUGUGAACUGCUCAUUCUUUCGUUUGGUUUUGGUUUUGGUUCUUUGAGAGCAGGUCUUGUUGCAUAGUGCAGGCUAGCCUUGAACUCACUAUGUGGCCUGGAACUUGAGGUGACCUUCCUGCCUCAGCCUCCCGAGUGCUGAGAUGGCGAAUGUGCACCACCAUGCCCAACAUUCACCUUGACUUCUGUUUAUUCAAAUUAGAACACAUUUAUAUCUGACCAGAGUUUCAUAGCAGGUCUGGGGACACUUGGCUAAUGUGGUGGCACAUGAAAAGCAAGCACUGUGUCCCUCUUGCAUCCUUCCUGUGCCCCUAGGGACUGUGGGGCUCUGGGACAAAGUGGCCACCUGCAUCAGGCCACCCUGCAGCCCUAUUGCUUCCUCAGCUGUACCGCAGCCACUGGAGUGUGAGGUCACUUCCGAAGACAUCGCUUGUGAAGGGGAAGUGUGCAGCCGCAGCUGAGACCCAGCAGCCCUGGAACCAGACUGAGCUUGGGCUGGGAGGAAAUGGGUUGGAGCCACCCUGACGACCUAUGGGUGACAGCCUCACCAAAGGACAGGCAUCCCCUGGCCAUAACCUGUUCCAGAACAAUGAGAGUAAACAAAACAUCUUGUUGCACUGGAACAAAAGGCCAGACAGAUAAAGGAAACAGGCAAGGGGCAGAUAAGGAAAUAAACCCACACAGCAGCAGAUAAAGGAAGCAGGAGGCGGAUCCGGAAAUGUAUCCACAAUAGCAGAGGAGGCCACCACACUUGCUGCAUGGCUCCAGGAAGCAGCCCCCACGGCCUACUUCGGGGUUCCGCAAGGAUUCCUUCCCUCUAGGCGGAAAACAAUGAAAUGGAAUUGGAUGUUGUAUUUCUAUAUCCUGCCAAUAAAUUUAUUGUGUAUAUAUGGCAUACAUUUUUAUCUGAUUUCCACUUUGAAUUAAAAUUUUAAAAAUUAACUGGUCCACAGAUUGAGCCAAUGAUCUCAAUAGAGCUUUGUGGGCACUGUGGUGUGCUCCUGUAGUCCCUGCUACUGGGGAGGCUGAGACAGGAGGAUCCUUUGAGACCAUGAGUUCAAGGUCAGCCUGGGGCACAGUUUGAGACCUAGGCUUGUUAUAUAAGCAAACAAAAAUAAAAAUGAGACAAUGCAAACAUACUACCACCAUUCGGUUUGCACUUAAAAAUGGUUACGAUGGUAAAAUUUAUAUUAUGCAUAUUUUACCGUGGUUUGUUUUUAGUUUAAAAGAAAUGCCUGUCAGAUUUCUGGCCCCAGGUAGGAAGAGAAGGGAAACCGAAAUUCUCUCAGUUCUCUCAGAAGCAUAAAGACCAGAAGAGGCAUGAGGUCCCUCCCCCAUAACUUUUGUGAAAUCAGAAAGCCGAUCCCGCCCCAAACUCCACAUAAUGGGCUGGGGACUACAUGAAGCCACCAGUCCCUGCCCAGGCAUCAGGGCGCAUCAAUGGUCCAGGUCCCAGCACACAGGGCACGGCCUGACCCUGCUGCGGGCGGAUGCGAGAGGCGGCGCCAGCAGAGGGCCCCCGAGAGCCAGCAUCAGCGACGGAGGGAGAAGCUGGGACAAAAGCCAGCGCGGUGCGGCCUCGAUUUGGACGAACUGAAACGGUAAAAGAAAAGCGAGGCCUUUGGAGCCUCUCUCCGAGUUCCCCUACGCGCCAAGCCAGAGACUUGCCCGGCUGGGCGGGCUUGAAUCUGGGAAUUCCGGUCCCAAAUUCUGAUGUGUCUUGGGUUGACUGAAGGGAGCCCCUCCAGCCCCCUCCCACAUACUUUUGCUUUCCUCCUCGCUUUCUGACACAGAGAUACUCUGAUCUCACUCAGAACUUCUUUGUAAGUUGACAGAGUCUCGUCAUGUAGCCCAGGCUGGUUUUGAACUCACGGGGAUUCUCUUGCCUCAGCCUCCUGCGUGCGGGACAACUGGCCUGCACCCCUGUGUCCUGCUAGAGCUCCCUUUGUCAGGUAGUAGGGAUCCUCUGCACAUGCAUGUAUUAAAAAGUGACCUGGACUGCAGCUCCCACUUCCUGCUCACAAGGCCCUGCGCAUGGCCUGUGGUGCUGGUGUCUGCUGUUCGUAGUUGCUCAGCCUUGAGCACUCCACCUGGGGACGUCUGGCGUCUUGGGGGAGCGUCUUGGGUCACUGCUCCCCACACCCCAGCAAGGGUGCCCCGAGUCCCAGGAUAUUAAGAAAUGACUGCUUUGGACACCAUGGCACGCACCUUUCCAUGCUAGCACUCAGGGAGGUCAAAGCAGAAGACUCUCAAGUUUGAGCCCAGCCUGGGCAACUUAGUGACAUAGUUUCUCAAAAUAAAAACCUGCAAAGGGCUGGGGAUGCAGAGCACUGCGAAGAGUCUGAGUUCAAUCUCCAGCAGCACAAAAGAAGAAAAGGGGAAGAGGAAGAAGAUGAUGACAAGAGGCCAAGAGACAGACACACUGGUCCCUGGCACGGCCCAGCUUCAAAGCCAAGCCAAGUCCAGUCCGUGGUGGGCCUGUCUGAAGUUUGAUGGAAACAGCUCACACUUGACAGUCAUCCUGUGGUGACGACAAAGACAGCUCCACUGGGGAAAUUCUACGGUUCGAGCGAGCUAGGGCUUGUUUCCACAUCCAACUGUAAAUAGGGAUCAUGUCUGGCAUGAAGCAGUUUUUCAAGGAUGAGAACAAAAAUCAAUUUAAAAACUGGUGCAAUCUUAAGGGCUGCAUAUACGGCUCCAGCUUCGGGCACAGGGACGUCUGGCCUAAGGACCUGCGUUCUGUUUCCUCUCGGUGUGUGCUGUUUUCACUGUACCUCAUAUAAUCUAUGUGCUUCUCGGAAAAUAAGUAAAAAUAAACACUGGGCCUGCCUGGUAA